GAUGAAGAACGCAGCGAAAUGCGAUAAGUAAUGUGAAUUGCAGAAUUCAGUGAAUCAUCGAAUCUUUGAACGCACAUUGCGCCCCCUGGAAUUCCGGGGGGCAUGCCUGUUCGAGCGUCUCAGGGACGAACCCUCGCGCGGGUGUACGCGCGGUCGUGGCUGCGGUGGCGUGCCCGAGGCGGCGGCCACCGCGCUGGAAUCCAUGGGCGGACGCCUGCCGCGUGGCCGAGCGUGAUAUGACGCAUUGGCGCUCGCACGCGGAGAGGCUGCCAGCCCUGGCCCGUCUGUCGGGCGGGGGAGAGCAAGACACGUGAACUCCUCGAAUCAGGUAGGGAUACCCGCUGAACUUAAGCAUAUCAAUAAGCGGAGA
rnacentral:misc_RNA from 1 species